rnacentral:misc_RNA from 1 species
GAUGAAGAACGCAGCGAAAUGCGAUAAGUAAUGUGAAUUGCAGAAUUCAGUGAAUCAUCGAAUCUUUGAACGCACAUUGCGCCCCCUGGUAUUCCGGGGGGCAUACCUGUCCGAGCGUCAUUACAACCCUCAAGCUCAGCUUGGUGUUGGGCCCCGCCGCCCCGGCGGGCCCUAAAGUCAGUGGCGGUGCCGUCCGGCUCCGAGCGUAGUAAUUCUUCUCGCUCUGGAGGUCCGGUCGUGUGCUCGCCAGCAACCCCCAAUUUUUUUCAGGUUGACCUCGGAUCAGGUAGGGAUACCCGCUGAACUUAAGCAUAUCAAUAAGCGGAGGA